rnacentral:lncRNA from 1 species
AUUGUUAGCUACUGCCUCUUGGAGGCUCAUGGAUUCAGUUGAUAGAAAAUGAGCUUUGCAAGGGAAUAACCUCUUCCCUGGGUGAAUGGACAAGUGAAUGGGCGGGUGGGUGGAUUAACGCGGGGAGGGAUAAAUAAGUGGGUGUGGGAGGUAGGUGUGGGCAGAUGGGUGGAUGGAUCAUCAUAUGGGGUGGAGAGAAAGCAGUAUCCAGGAGAGGCCACUAAGGGUCCUUUCCACCCCGCCUAACUGCAUAUCACCUCACAUCAUCCAUUUGUACCAAAACCAAAUGCCUCUGCCUGACCCCUGCUUCUUAAUUGACGCCCACAUUGCCACUCAAGGAACUGCCCAUUUGGGUCAAAACAGGUGACUCACUGGCUCCUCGAUGAUUACAGAACUUGUAUUUGGAGGGACAGAGGAGCUGAGCAACACUUCACCAGAGAUUGAGAUCAGUCCAUGUUGCAAUUAGCAAGGACAACUGUACCUCCAAGAUUAGAUCUGAUCCCUGGAAAGAGUGCAUUUUAAAAAAAAAAUUAGUUUCUGUCAGACGUGGUGGCCCACACCUGUAGUUAGGGGAUUGAAGCAGAAGGAUGGAGAACUCUAGGCCUGCCCAAGUUCCAUACCUCAUGCCUACACUCAAGCCUCAGGAGGCUGAGGCAGGAGGAUUGCCAUGAGUUCAAAUCCAACCUUGGCUUACAGACUAGGACCCUACCUC